rnacentral:rRNA from 1 species
GAUGAACGCUGGCGGCAUGCCUAACACAUGCAAGUCGGGCGAGCAGUGGUGGUUCUAGUGCCGGACGCGUGAGCAACGCGUGAGAAACUGACACGUGGAGGGCCACAACAUCUGGCAAGGGCAGCUAAUACACCCCGGGCUGAGGAGCAAAAAGUGGAAUCCGCCUGAGGGUGGGCUCGCGUCAGAUUAGCUAGCUGGUGAGUCAAUAGCUUACCAAGGCGCUGGACAGUAGCGGGUUCGAGAGGAUGAUCAGCCACACUGCGACUGAGACCCGGCGCAGACUCCUUCGCGCGGCAGGCGUGGGGAUGUUGCCGCAAUGGGCGGAGGCCUGACGGGGCCUUGCCGCGUUGAGGUAGAGUUCUUAGGGGUCGUCAACUGCGUAACCCGGAGAAGAAGCAAUGACGGUAUCUGAGGAAAAAGCAUCGGCUAACUCCGUG